rnacentral:rRNA from 1 species
CGCCAGACUCCUACGGGAGGCAGCAGUGAGGAAUAUUGGUCAAUGGGAGAGAUCCUGAACCAGCCAAGCCGCGUGAGGGAAGACGGCCCUAUGGGUUGUAAACCUCUUUUGUCGGAGAACAAAACCCGGGACGUGUCCCGGACUGCGUGUAUCCGAAGAAAAAGCAUCGGCUAACUCCGUGCCAGCAGCCGCGGUAAUACGGAGGAUGCGAGCGUUAUCCGGAUUUAUUGGGUUUAAAGGGUGCGUAGGCGGUCCGUUAAGUCAGCGGUAAAAUUGCGGGGCUCAACCCCGGGGCUGCCGUUGAAACCGGAGCGCUAGAAUUCCGAUGCCGUCGGAGGAAUGUGUGGUGUAGCGGUGAAAUGCAUAGAUAUCACACAGAACACCGAUUGCGAAGGCAUCUGACGAAUCGGAGAUUGACGCUGAUGCACGAAAGCGUGGGUAUCGAACAGGAUUAGAUACCCGAGUAAC